AAUGAUGUUUCAGUCGUAAUUUAGUCGCCGAAAAGCACUGCUGUAGUUUUUAUAGCUAAAAAAUAUAAUUUAUCACGAAAAUGGAAAAGUGGAAUGGAAAAGUUGCUGUAGUAACGGGUGCUUCUUCUGGAAUCGGAGAAGAAACUUGUCGACAACUGGUUGAAAAAGGAAUGAUUGUUGUUGGUUUUGCUAGAAGAGAAGAUAAACUUAAGGAGUUAGAAAAGGAUUUAAAAGGAAAAUUGGGUAAAUUUUUUUACGUUAAAGUUGAUUUGUGUUCGGAAAAAAACAUUUUGGAAGCUUUUAGUUGGGUAAAAAGAACAUUGAAAUCGGUUGAUGUACUAAUUAACAAUGCAGGUGUUUUGAAAAACAGUGAUUUAUUAGCAAAUACAAAUGAUUGGAAGCAAAUGUUCGAUACUAAUGUCAUAAGUCUUAACAUUUGCAGCAGAGAAGCCAUAAAAAUCAUGGAGGAAACAGAAAUCAAAGAGGGCCACAUAAUAAAUAUUAACAGUAUUGUAGGUCAUUAUCUAUUUCCAUUUAUGAAGGAUAUUUCAGUUUAUAGCGCUACCAAACAUAGCGUUACUGCAAUUACAGAGUAUCUAAGAGAAUUGAUGGGCAUGAAAAAUUUACCAGUCAGAGUUACGAGUAUCAGUCCGGGUGCAGUAGAAACUGAAAUGACUCAAGAAAUGUCUCAAUUAAAAAAAAUGAAUAUAUUGAAAUCUAUUGACAUCGCUGAAGCUAUUAUGUAUGCUUUGGGUGCACCACAGCGUGUUAACGUCGCUGAGAUCAUCAUCAGACCAACAAACGAGAAUACAUUAGGUUUUAUCAAGAGCUUCACAUAAAUAUGGAUUAUGAUUGAUAGAUAUCUAUACACGUCUCAAGUUUAAGUAAUACACAAGAAGCUCUUAUUGUUACAACUGAAACUUUUCCAUUUCCGCUUUAAAAUUGUAAAAGUAUAAGAACAGUGCUGAUCGAUGUCCAAAUAUAACAACUGAAACGUCAUUCUGAAUAGCCAAAGUUAUAUGCUUAUUGCGUAAAAUCCGCUGUAUAGAGGACGGAAAACGCGUUUCUCAGAAAAAAAGUAUAUUUUUUACUAUCGGAUGGACGGAAAAGGAGAGCCAUCAACUCAUCAUGUUCCAAUACGCUUCAUAGCAG